CAGGACGAACGCUGGCGGCGUGCCUAACACGUGCAAGUCGAGCGAGGAGAUUCCUUCGGGAUGAUCCUAGCGGCGGACGGGUGAGUAACACGUGGGCAACCUGCCUCAUAGAGAGGAAUAGCCUUCCGAAAGGGAGAUUAAUACCUCAUAACAUUGCAGUUUCGCAUGGAACAGCAAUUAAAGGAGUAAUCCGCUAUGAGAUGGGCCCGCGGCGCAUUAGCUAGUUGGUGAGGUAACGGCUCACCAAGGCGACGAUGCGUAGCCGACCUGAGAGGGUGAUCGGCCACAUUGGGACUGAGACACGGCCCAGACUCCUACGGGAGGCAGCAGUGGGGAAUAUUGCACAAUGGGGGGAAACCCUGAUGCAAGCAACGCCGCGUGAGUGAUGACGGCCUUCGGGUUGUAAAGCUCUGUCUUCAGGGACGAUAAUGACGGUACCUGAGGAGGAAGCCACGGCUAACUACGUGCCAGCAGCCGC
rnacentral:rRNA from 1 species